AACGCACGCAGAGGCAGCUUAGCCUAAACACUUCACAGCCAGUCUGCACAACUCCAAAAACCCAAGCGAGUGCUGGGAGGAAAGAAAAAUCUGCCUUGGAUCAAAGGAAUCGCCCUUCCCAGCCCCACAAGAGCCUCAGGACCCCACGGAGGCUGUAGCUGGGAGGUCUUUGCCAGGACGUGCCACUCCUGGGACAGUUUUCACGGUCUGUGGCUGCUGGUGGACCACGAUGUGCUCCCAGAAAGUGCCUUGGCCAGAAAGAGAAGUCGCCUCUCCUUGCCAACCUGCACGUUAGCAGCUUGUUGGUGUUUAACUGAACGGUACCCCACGAGCUGGGAUCUAAGAUCAGAUUUGCGCUGUAGUCACCAUGCAAGCGGCCAAGCCGGGACCACGGACAACAUGAUGUUCAUCACCACUUGCUUCUGGUGCUUUGUGGCUGUCCUUACUGAGGUCAACGGCUCUCUUCAUUGGUAUAUUCUGGAGCUGCCUGAAGAGUUGGAAGAGGAACUUGAGAGCGAGAGAAACGGAGAUCAGGAUGGAAAACUUGAAGCCGGACGCAAGCAUCUGCUCUGCCCUCCCCGACGGUUCAGAUGAAUAAUGUGCACGAGGCAUCUCCGCUGCUGGCCACUCCUCAAGGAAAAGGAGGGCAGGAUCUUCAUAUGUGGGACAAAUCCCUCUGGAGGAACACCAGCCCUUGGAGAUCCUGUGCCGCUUCUGCGGUUCUCCUGAGCAUUUUGAAGUACUCGCCCUUCUAGAAGAGCGUCCUCGCAAUCCAGGCAGGAGGCAAUAUUGACGCCGGGACAGCACAGCACCCUCGGUCACCCAGCGAGCUCCCAGUUGAGGUCCUGCUGCUAGAAGGCCUCUUCCCUUGGUGGCUUGGGUGGUCGCCUCUGCUUCCGCGUCCUGCACCGUCCCGCGUUGGAUCGGCGCAGCCGCUUUCCGCUGCUCAGCAGCAUCUUCACUACUGCACCUUGCACCUGGGCGACUUCAGCCUCAGCAUCGCCCUCGCGCAGGGAUCCUGCCGCUGGCAGCUCAGUCAUCUUCUCUCAGCACAUUUGCGACGUGUCUCUUGUGCGGACCUGACCAACGAGGCCACCACGAGCUUGGGGACGAUGGGUGCCCUGCUUGCUGCUGGCCCAACGCCACCACUCUCCUCCUCGCUGGCUUCAACUGCUCCCUCAUCUGAAGCCUUUGCAAGCUAAGAACAGCCAGCCUAAAAUGAUGCAUCUACUCUGUCUUUCCGAGAGGAUCCAAAGAUGAAGAAUGGAAAAAUCCUUCUUUUUUUUUUUUUUUUUUAUUUUGCUUAAUGACUGAAGGAAAAUGGAGUUAUCCUGUAUAUGUGUGUGUAUAUAUAUAUAAGUAGUUCAUUCAUAAGUACCUGCUUUCUUGAACAGAAGACCUCUGCAGAGCAGCAAGCUACAUGGGUUAGGGAUUACUGUCUGCUCCUCUACCCUGGACCAGCAACAGCUACCUGCAAUUUUCAGAUGCGGUAUGGCUUCUCCUGUUGCUGCGCUACACCUGUUAUCUCCAAGGCACUUGCUGUAAACUUAAAAGCUUCAAAAUAAAAGAUGACUUUGAACAAGUGCA